rnacentral:rRNA from 1 species
GAUGAACGCUGGCGGCGUGCCUAAUACAUGCAAGUCGAGCGAACAGACGAGGAGCUUGCUCCUCUGACGUUAGCGGCGGACGGGUGAGUAACACGUGGAUAACCUACCUAUAAGACUGGGAUAACUUCGGGAAACCGGAGCUAAUACCGGAUAAUAUAUUGAACCGCAUGGUUCAAUAGUGAAAGACGGUUUUGCUGUCACUUAUAGAUGGAUCCGCGCCGCAUUAGCUAGUUGGUAAGGUAACGGCUUACCAAGGCGACGAUGCGUAGCCGACCUGAGAGGGCGGGAGGCGACAGUGGAGAGGAGACCGGGGAGCGACUGAGACGGGAGGGAGAGGGAGGGAAGAUUGAGGAAUGGGUGAGUGACGGAAGGAGGAAAGCAGAGUGAGUGAUGAAGGUUUAAGGAACGAAGAACGAUGGGAGGAGGGAAGAAAAAAGGGGGAAGGAAAUCGGCGCGUCAGGAGGGGAGAUAAGCAGAAAGAUAAGGAGCAAGUAGUC